GCUGGCUAAAUAAACAGUAAAUGAGCUGUUUAAACAGUUGUAUCUAUACACACAAGUAAUAAAAGCAUCAGGCACCUGGUGCAAAGCUAUUAGGACCUAAUUCUGACAACAAUAUACAUCAUUAUAGUGGGAUCUGAUAAAGAGCAAACACUGGAGGCAUUACAUGUCUUUAGAAGAAUCAGGCUUCCUACCUUAGCAAGAGUGAUAGAAGGUCUCUUUGUAGAGGUGAAGAAAUGUGGUGCAGCAGUGGAGCAGCUGGCUGGAUCCUGUCUCAGCUGUUUCCUGAAUUGGAGGAAUUGGGAAGCAUGAAGAUAUAGAGGGAAUUCUAGAGAAUUCUGGAAUUCCCAGAUGCUAGAACAACACUAAAAAGUGCUGCAUGAUGCAAGGGGUGAAGAGGCUGAAGGAGAAGGAUGGCUAUAGACUUUCCAUAUGAGACAAAACUAAUUUUCAUUCUGUGAAAAUCAUGUUUUUCCUAUUGCAUAUCAGGUCCAAAAUUCUCUCUAAUUUUUUUUUUUAAUUUUAACUUUUCUUCAAAUGAAACACGUUUUAGAUUUAUUAUCUAUUCUCCGAUUAAUAAUGGCUUUUUAUUCAAAUAAGUGAUUUUAAAGUAUAUUCUUUUCAGUCUGAAUUAGACCAAAUUGAAAAAGAACAUUUGUAUUAGACUGUAGAACUAUACCAAGUGAUAGACCCUGGUAAAUUCUUAAUUGUGCAAAUUUAUGGCUUGAUCUCAGAAGGACAGAUUGCUUAUAUACACAAUGUUCUAAUUAUUCCCAUGCCCGUAUAUAUUUUCCUAGAACGCAGGCUUUAUAACUUUCACAGGUCUUCAGAUGAUGCAGUCUCUAAACAGUCCAUAAUAAAUGAUAACAGCUACAAAAAAGGUUUUUAAUGGAUUCCUUUUAAAAAACUGUUUAGGCCUCAUCACUGUUAUCUAAUAUAGCCACUGUUUGUGAGCCAUUUAUUAGGGAAAAAAUAAAAGAAAGGGAAAUAUGGAGGCAAUGGAUAAGUAAUUCCUAACUAGAUGCUGCAAGUAAUUUUUUCUCAAACGACCCAAAUCUUGCUAAUUUUGAAUCCUUACCACCAUUCAGAUCAGCUGAGCUUUUAACAGUGGAAGGGUUACUAAAAGAAUAAUGUAAAUAAUUUAAAGGCACAACUGGGAAUUAAACAUAACAACAUUGAUUGUUGCUGACAAUUACUCUCCAGCACGGAGUAGCCCACCUAUACUUCUGCAUUUAACAAAUAUUUAUAAACCUUUAUUUUUUAAAUACGCAUUUCUCUGUUCUGCUCUUUUGUUGUUUGAGUUUUGGGGGUUUUGGCAGCUUUUUGAUACCUAUGUCUUUUUCUAUACAUACAAUUGUAGGAUUU